AAGAAAGAGUGCAAAUGUGCAAUUAAAAUCAAAGAAAAAUUUGCCUUUUCAACCUAGCAAAAGCAAUGAGUUUGGAGGAGAGGACAAAAGAGACAUAAAUAAAAAAAAAAGGAAAGAAGAAAUCUUCUUAUGUGAAGAUGAUAGUUGAAACGCAAGCUCAUAGAUUGGUGCUUCUCUCUGCCUCUACUUGUAUUUACACUCCCAGUUCCCAAUCUCAUAAAAGCUGUCAUGUUCAAGCUGGCCUCUUUACUCCAAGAUUUCCAUUACCCAUUUCUACUGGGCUUCGCACAUGGACAUAUCGCUUCAAAUUAGCUGUCACUGACUCUUCCCUCUCCGCUCCUCCUACUCCACCACCGCCUGACAAGGAUGAUGCACAAAGGAAGGUGCCUGAGCUACAAACGCUAUUCAGAAGAUUUUGGAAAGUGGCUGCUCCGUAUUGGUUCUCAGACGACAAGGUCCAAGCCAGAUUGCAGUUGGGAGCUGUCUUUGCUCUCACGUUGGCCACCACUGGUAUCAGCGUUGGAUUCAAUUUCCUCGGCCGCGACUUCUAUAAUGCCCUUGCUAACAAGGAUCAAGAACAGUUCACCAAGCAACUGCUAUACUACCUGGGAGGCUUUGCUGGAGGAAUUCCGUUCUUUGUGCUAAGAGAUUAUGCCAGAGAAAUCCUUGCUUUGAGAUGGAGAUCUUGGAUGACAAAAUAUUACAUGGAACGCUAUCUGAAGAAUCAAGCAUUUUACAAAAUUCAAUCCCAAUCAAUCAUUGAUAAUCCCGAUCAGCGAAUUGUUGAUGACCUAAGUUCCUUCACAGGGACAGCCCUUUCUUUCUCAUUGAUACUUUUCAAUGCUGCUGUAGACUUGAUAUCAUUUAGUAACAUCUUGUAUGGCAUUUAUCCCCCAUUGUUUGUUGUCCUUCUUCUAUAUUCUGUGGGUGGAACUGCAAUUAGUGUUUAUCUUGGAAGGGGAUUGGUGACUCUGAAUUUCUUGCAAGAGAAAAAAGAAGCAGACUUCCGCUAUGGACUUGUACGUGUUCGGGAAAAUGCUGAAUCAAUUGCUUUCUAUGGCGGUGAAGAAAAUGAAAUGCAACUUCUGCUGCAGCGCUUCAGAAGUGCUUUUGAAAAUUUAACACAAUUGUUGAUAUCUUCUAGAAAUCUAGAGUUCUUCACCAAUGGCUACCGGUACUUAAUUCAAAUUCUUCCCGCUGCUGUUGUUGCUCCUAUGUAUUUCUCAGGCAAAAUUGAGUUUGGUGUUAUUAAUCAGUCAGUAUCUGCUUUUAACCAUAUCCUUGGAGAUUUUUCUCUCAUUGUUUACCAGUUUCAAUCCAUCAGUGCUUUUUCAGCCGUCAUUGAUCGAUUAGGUGAAUUUGAUGAUGUCUUGGAUAGCAGCAGCUCUAAGCAACUGCCUGAGUUAUCAGAAGAGAUUUCUCUUUCAUACUGCAAUUAUAGAAGUUCACUCAUUUUGGAGUUUAAUGGGUCUAUUCCAGUUGACAGUCGCCAAAAAUUGCUUAGUAUAGAGAAUUUGACUCUACAGACACCAACAAGUAAAGCUACACUGAUUAGGGACCUGUCAUUGGUCAUCAAUGAGAAAGAUCAUUUGCUGGUAAUGGGACCUAGUGGGAGUGGUAAAACAUCACUGUUAAGAGCUUUAUCUGGUCUUUGGAAUGUUGGAAGAGGAAAAAUAACUUUCUAUCUUAAUGAUGGGGAUGAUCCUCAAUUGCCCACGUCUUCAGAACUGCCUGCUAAUGAAAUAAAUACUUCACAUGAAAAUGCUGGGGAACUUGAAGGGCCAAUUAAUAGAAACUCUAGAGGCAUAUUUUUUCUUCCUCAAAGACCAUAUAUGGUUUUGGGAACACUUCGUCAACAAUUGCUUUACCCUACAUGGGCUGACGAUAAAACUCCAAUGUCAGAUGGUACUAAACCAGUAGGUUCAGUGUCUUUCUUGAUGGGGAAAACAAACUCAGAAAAUGUGAGAGGAAAGCCCGGCAAGCCCACAACAGAUGAUUUAAUACAGGUUUUAGAGAAUGUUCGUCUUGGCUACAUAUUAUCACAAUUUGGUAGUCUGGAUUCAACAUAUGAGUGGUCCAGUGUUCUUUCCCUUGGAGAGCAGCAACGCCUUGCUUUUGCGCGACUAUUGCUUUCAAAACCAAAGCUGGUUCUAUUAGAUGAAUCUACCAGUGCUUUAGAUGAAGUCAAUGAGGCACAUCUGUACCGGCAAAUUGAAGCAGCAGGCAUAACCUAUGUUAGCGUUGGCCACAGACGUACUCUAUAUAAACAUCACAACAUGGUCUUACGCAUAUCCACAGCAGAUCUCAACCGUAACAAACGGAACUGGGACAUUGAGUCCAUAAAUCCUGGAGCCUUGUAUAAUUUGUCUAGUCAGUAACUAGUGUGCAUGGUAGCUGCAUUAGUAUCUAUGCCAUGGUUUAUAUAAAAUUGAAACCUGUAAUUUCCUCCAAAUAGAAGGGCACAAAUGCAAAGGAGCAGUAAUAUUUCAGUAAAGAUUACACUCUCAGAUGUCAAUGCCAAUUGCUUGGUCGGAUUCUUCAAAUCUCGGUAGAUGAAAGAUAUUUUAAAAAAUUAGCUUUCUUUUUGCAUAUGAAUUUUGUUUUAUUGCAAUUAAUAAGAAUGUAAUUAGAUGGAUAACAUAGCACUAUCGAGUGAGAGCACUAUUCAAACGGAC
rnacentral:misc_RNA from 1 species